UCGGCGCGCAGGGCUCGCUCCGGCCCCGCCUCCCGCGCGCUUAACCCUCUCGCCGCUGGGGACGCGCCGGGGGCGGGGCUGGCGAGCGCGCGCCCGGGACCCCUCAGCCCGGGCGCCCCUUGCUGCGCGCCGGCGCUGCACCCCAUCGCGUUCUCGGCGCUGCGGCUCGGCCGCUGCCGGUGCUGACCGAGCAGGCCGCAGGGGACGCGGACGCCUGGCCCUGUCCUGCCCGGACAGGAAGUGGGCCCGGGUUUCCCACUCCUCGGCUCCCGCUCCUUCCUCCGCGGGAAAGGAAGGACCGGGAAGGCCGCGGGUCCGCCGAAGGGAGGGCCGAGCAGCCGGAAACUCCCGGGGUUGCCGGCUGUGCCCCUGGGGCGCUGAGAAUAGUCCAGGUUCGCUGGAGCGAGGGAAGCCGCACGCCGGCCUUCUCGCUGUCCGCAGCGCCCUACAUGGAGAGGGUAGAUGAAUAAACGGUUAAUCAAGUAUUUCUGGAGAGCUUGCAGUGGGGUAGGCAUGAUUCAGAUUGCUGGGAUUAUGCAGCAAACAAACCAACAAAAAGACUCUGCCCGGGGAGCCUGCGUUCCAAAUGGGGGAGUAAAUGGAUGGGUGCAGUUUUGCUCCCUAACUUUUGAGACUUGCGCUAGUGUGAAUUCGUUUUACACUACCGAAGCGGACCUUCAGUACUAAUUGACCUGAAGACGUGGAAAAAUAAACACCGAAGAAGAAGAAAAAGAACUUCCUCGUUAUAUUUAAUAUUAAGUUUCAAAAGUACUCCGGGAAAAGACAAAAUGUAGUUUUCAUACUUUAAUUUAUAUUGGCAAAUAAUUGGAUUUAUCCCCAUCGGGAGUAAAAGAGUCAACUAAACACUUUUUAGAUGUACAAAAAAUACGAAAUGAACAAAGAACUAUUCUUAUUCACGCUUUUAUUAGGUCCAUAGUUAUCUCACUUCUAAGUAAAUACAAUUUAUUUAAAAUGAUACAAUGUACGAAACGUGAUUGAGACUUGACUUAAGGAGUUCCUAGAUCAAUUUUACAUCUUAAGUUUCUUGACUCUUCCAUAUUUAGCAUACUGUCUCCGGCCUUUUGUGCCUUUAACUAAGUUAAGAAAAUGAGAGCGUGAUGCCUAUGUUGGACUAAACCUCAUUUAACUUCAAGGCUGACCGUCCUUAAAGUUGGACCUUAGUGUUAUGAGGAACAGAAAGAUCAAGAACAAUGCAGCAUCUCAAUUUUCCAACUGUGAAAAGGUGUUGUCAACCGAACUUAAAUGAAUCAGGAGGUUUUGGCUAGAAAUAAAUGAUAAAGAUUUAUUCAAGCGUUUUGGGGUUUGCAAGCCAGAAACAACUGGGCAAUAUCCAGAGUGUUCCCGAAGAAGAAAGAAAAGCUGAGGGUUCUUACAGUACAAAGUACAUUCUUGAGAAGAAUCAGUCCUUCAUCCUUAGCCUCUGGAAAGGUCUGAGAUGGUAAUCCUCUAAAUGACCGGUGGUCUGGAUAGUGGACCUGGAUCGAGUGGUCUGGAUAUGUGAACAUUCUUUCCUUAGUCCUUCAAGGGGAAUUGGAGGGUUAGCUGAAGGUUUGAUGUAUAGCCAGGCAUUGAUGCAGGACUGGAAAGCGCAAAAGUUGAAGCUCCCAGGCUAUGAAACAAGAAUAGAAUCAUUUCCUCAUACGUCAACCUACUUGGUUUUAGUAAUUUAGCAGCUUGAUUUAGUGAUUCCAUUUUAUCUCUUUAUUUCUUAGUAUUCAAAUUUUCAAACUGCAGCCAUUUCUAUUAAGUUGAACCCUAUGAAAUUGGUUUCUUUAUAUAUCAAAACUGGAAUACCAGCAUUUCAGAUGGUGCAAACUUAUAGUUCCCUAGCGUUUCCCCACAAGCAUUUAUAAAGGAUAUUGUGGUGGGAAUUUCUUGCAAAAGGUGGGAUGUAGUCAACUUCUUAGCACUAAGAGUUUAGGCUGAAAGUCCUGGGAGACAGUUAGUUAUUACACCUUCACAUUUAUAUGUAAGAAACCUAAAGUAAAUAGCUUAACCAGUGCCCAUAUUGCUGACUGCCAGCCCUGGGCCCUUUCAAAUGUAAAUGAGCAAUUAGACAUAGGGUUCUUAGAUGCAUAGUUUGAUAUUUCACUACCUUGAAACCCUAUGGAGGAAGUAUUAGAUGCUUACUUCACAGCCACCUCUAAGUAGUUUCAAAACCAUCUUCAACCCAAAAUGGAUCUCUUCCCAACCCAUCUCAUCCAAUUAGUGAUGGAGCCUAUGAAUUCUUACCUCAGAAUCUCCCACCAACUCCCACCUCAACCAUUUUUCAUCUGGCCUACACUCACUACCCAUGGAUACCCUGCCUCUAAUAUCUUCCCCUUCAACACGUCAUUCCAUUAGAAAUGCCUAUUGAGCACCUACUAAGUGCCAGACACUGUGCUAGUUACUGGAGACAGAAAGAUAAGACAACCCAUGUGUCACAGUUUUAAAAUACCAUACGCCCUCAAGUUCUUUGAUAUUACUUCCUUCAAGAGGUGGCAAUCAAUCUCCCCUCCCCCUUGAGUGUGGACUGAACAUAAUGGCUCACUUAUAACAAAUAGAAUAUGGCAUAAGUGACGGUGGAACUUCCAAGACUAGGUCAUAAAAGGUAUUUUGGUUUUCUCCUUUUUCUCUUGUCUUGGAUCACUUGCUCUGGGAGACGCCAGCUGCCAUGUUGUGAGAAUACUCAAGCAGCUUUAUGGAGAGGUAUAAAUGCAAGGAACCAGGGCCUCCUGCCACCAGCACUAACCUGCCAGGCUUGUGAGUGAGACAUCUUGGAAGCAGAUCCGCCAGCCCCAGUCAAGCCUUCAAAUGACUGCAGUCCCAGCUGACCUCUUGACUACAACCUUGUGAGAGACCCUGAGCCAGAUCCAGCCAGGGUCGUCCCUUCUGGUUAUAAGUGGCUGCAACAGCUCCAGGCAUUCUAUCCUUUAUACAAGACCCAAAAUUCAGACAAGAAGAGAAAGGACAUUUGGAAGUGUGAAGAAAACUUUCCCAGAAACCCUGGAAUCCCCUCAUGCCUCAUUGGCCAGAAUUGCAUCACAUGCCAUUCCUAAACCCAUCAUUGGCAAGGUGAGCAGAACUGACAUGACUGGAUUAACUUCACCAGGAAGGCAUCCUCGGAGGCUUCCAGCCUCUUUUGAAGAGCCUGGCUAUCCCUUACCUGAUGGAACAAAUUAAAAAUUCUCAUGGCACAUUUGCUAUAAAAAUUCUCACAAGUGAAUGUAUGUAAGUAAUAUCUACAAGUUUCAAAUGUGGCCACUAGAAGCAUGCUGUUGGCUUAAAUGUGAACGUGUCCUUGUGCAUCAACAGCUCCCAGACUCAUGUUCAACAUACCCUGUGAUGAAACCUAAUUCGGUUCUGUCCUGCUACAACUCAAACUCCAAAUGCGGGGAUCUUUAUUUUGUUUCUAUCAACAGUGCCUAGAACAGCACCUGGAGUAUUGUAGGGUUCAAUAAAUAUUUAUUAAUUGAAAAAAAAAAAACCUGAUGGCAAGAAAAAGGGGAAAGUUGGUGUGGAGCAGGCACCCAGGAGCAUCUACAUCAUGAUUUUUGUCAGGGCUUUUUACUCUUAAUAUGUUUGCUUCUUUGCCUCAUAGGACACACAACACUUUUUGCCCCAAACAAGCCUUGCUUUCUGGUUCUGUACACUCAGCACAUGAGCCUUGCAAAUGACACAAAGCUAACAGUCACUGUUGGAGUGUCUGCCUGAAAGCUACCCAGCUUGACAAAGUGGAGUGUUCAUGCUCUGGCAGUCCAGCAUACUGUCAGGUUCAACAGCAUCUUUCACCGAAGGAUAAAACUUCACAACUAUCAGAUCUUCUUGCCCCCAAUAUCACAGCAGUUUAGCGGAAUCAGUGGUGUUCCCAGGGCAGGAUGGUGGGAAUGGUCAGCUGGGGGAGCAGGCACCACAGGCUUGCACGGUCUGGAAAGAAUUUUAAAGCAAUGAUAAACCUUUAAAGGCAAUGUGGUGUCCUGGAUAGAACCCUGGAACAGAAAAAGGACAACAGUGGAAGCACAGCUAAAAUCCAAAUAAAGUCUGUAGUUUGGUUAAUAGUA